CAUAGGAACCAAAUAUAGAACUCAACAAAGUCAUGAAAAUCGAAAGUGGAACAGAACUAUUCUUUUACAUGAAGGGGACAGAGAAGCGCUACGACCCAUCGGAAUAUCACUUUGAAAUCAUAUUUAUAUUCAACUUGUCCAGAGCAAUCACUAAUAACAAUGCUUAAUCUACAAUGACUGAAAUAAAUCCUUUAACUGCCAUAAGUGAUGUGAACAACUCAUUUUAAAUGAAAGAAAGUUUAGACAACAAAAAUAUGAAAGACAAAAACAAGAUGUGCAGUCAAGCCAGUGAAGUUUCCACAGACGCUAAAGAGGUCACUUCAUAGAAUGCAAAAAAAGGUCUCUCUUCCAACCAUCAAAUGUAACUAUUGAAAUAGACUCAAAAUCCAAAAAGAAGACUCACACAGGCUACAAAAUCGAUGACCAAACCAAUACUCUCCUCUUGAAAGAAAAAUGUGAUUGAAGACCAUCUACAUUAAUUUUGUAACAAAAGGAAGUCAUGCAAUGUAUUUCUUUUAUAGCUAUGAAAGAAGGGGGGAAAAUGUUCUGCCUAUGUAUAGGAACCUAAUGGUAAGUCUAUUUGUAUGUCUCCCGAAUAGCAAUAAAUUACUAUGACAUUAAGAGGUUCUUGUAAAUAUUUCAAUUUCCUAUUUAUCCUUCUGAAUACAUACACUACGAACUAAGAUCAAUUGAGAAAGAUAUAUACUAAUUAAAAUAUUGUUUUUGUUUGAAAUGAUUUUUGUUGACUUUUUGUCCAAGUCUUAUUUGAUAGUCAUAGUUCUAAUUUGAA
rnacentral:lncRNA from 1 species